rnacentral:rRNA from 1 species
GCCAGACUCCUACGGGAGGCAGCAGUGGGGAAUAUUGCACAAUGGGGGGAACCCUGAUGCAGCGACGCCGCGUGGGUGAAGAAGUCAUUCGUGACGUAAAGCCCUAUCAGCAGUGAAUUGACGGUACCUGCAAAGGAAGCACCGGCUAACUCCGUGCCAGCAGCCGCGGUAAUACGGAGGGUGCGAGCGUUAAUCGGAAUUACUGGGCGUAAAGCGCUCGUAGGCGGUAUGGCAAGUCAAGGGUGAAAUCCCCGCGCUCAACGUGGGAACUGCCUUUGAAACUGGCGAACUGGAGUGUGUGAGAGGAUAGUGGAAUUCCAGGUGUAGGAGUGAAAUCCGUAGAUAUCUGGAGGAACAUCAGUGGCGAAGGCGGCUAUCUGGCACAUAACUGACGCUGAGGAGCGAAAGCGUGGGGAGCAAACAGGAUUAGAUACCCCUGUAAAG